rnacentral:rRNA from 1 species
UCGAGAAUCUUUUGCAAUGCGCGAAAGCGUGACAGAGUAAUGCCGCGUGCCAGAUGAAGGUCUUCGGAUUGUAAAUGGCUGUCACCCGUGACGAAAAAUGACGGUAACGGGGGAGGAAGCCACGGCUAACUACGUGCCAGCAGCCGCGGUAAUACGUAGGUGGCGAGCGUUGUUCGGAUUUAUUGGGCGUAAAGGGUCCGUAGGUGGUUUACUAAGUCUGACGUGAAAUCCCAUGGCUCAACCAUGGAACUGCGUUGGAGACUGGUGAACUAGAGUUUUGGAGAGGUAAGCGGAAUACCAGGUGUAGCGGUGGAAUGCGUAGAUAUCUGGUAGAACACCGAAAGCGAAGGCAGCUUACUGGACAAUGACUGACACUAAGGGACGAAAGCGUGGGGAGCAAACA